ACGAACGCUGGCGGCGUGCUUAACACAUGCAAGUCGAACGGAAAGGCCCCUUCGGGGGUACUCGAGUGGCGAACGGGUGAGUAACACGUGGGUGAUCUGCCCUGCACUCUGGGAUAAGCCUGGGAAACUGGGUCUAAUACCGGAUAGGACCGCGCGCUUCAUGGUGUGUGGUGGAAAGCUUUUGCGGUGUGGGAUGGGCCCGCGGCCUAUCAGCUUGUUGGUGGGGUAAUGGCCUACCAAGGCGACGACGGGUAGCCGGCCUGAGAGGGUGACCGGCCACACUGGGACUGAGAUACGGCCCAGACUCCUACGGGAGGCAGCAGUGGGGAAUAUUGCACAAUGGGCGCAAGCCUGAUGCAGCGACGCCGCGUGGGGGAUGACGGCCUUCGGGUUGUAAACCUCUUUCAGUAUCGGCGAAGCUCCGUGGUUUUCUGCGGGGUGACGGUAGGUACAGAAGAAGCACCGGCCAACUACG
rnacentral:rRNA from 1 species